GACGAACGCUGGCGGCGUGCUUAACACAUGCAAGUCGAGCGAGAAAGCUCCUUCGGGAGCGAGUACAGCGGCGAACGGGUGAGUAACACGUGGGUGACCUGCCUUUAGCUCUGGGAUAAGCCUGGGAAACUGGGUCUAAUACCGGAUAUGACUCCGCGGUGCAUGCUGUGGGGUGGAAAGCCUUGUGCGGCUGGAGAUGGGCCCGCGGCCUAUCAGCUUGNGGUGGGGUGAUGGCCUACCAAGGCGACGACGGGUAGCCGGCCUGAGAGGGCGACCGGCCACACUGGGACUGAGACACGGCCCAGACUCCUACGGGAGGCAGCAGUUGGGAAUUUUGGGCAAUGGGCGCAAGCCUGACCCAGCGACACCGCGUGGGGAUGAAGGCCU
rnacentral:rRNA from 1 species